UUCCGGUUGAUCCUGCCGGACCUGACUGCUAUCGGAUUGAUACUAAGCCAUGCGAGUCAUUGUAGUAAUACAAGGCAGACGGCUCAGUAACGCGUAGUCAACCUAACCUAUGGACGGGAAUAACCUCGGGAAACUGAGUAUAAUGCCCGAUAGAACAUUAUGCCUGGAAUGGUUUAUGUUCCAAAUGAUUUAUCGCCGUAGGAUGGGACUGCGGCCUAUCAGUUUGUUGGUGAGGUAAUGGCCCACCAAGACUAUUACAGGUACGGGCUCUGAGAGGAGUAGCCCGGAGAUGGGUACUGAGACACGGACCCAGGCCCUAUGGGGCGCAGCAGGCGAGAAAACUUUGCAAUGUGCGAAAGCACGACAAGGUUAAUCCGAGUGGUUUCUGCUAAAGGAACCUUUUGUUAGUCCUAGAAACACUAACGAAUAAGGGGUGGGCAAGUUCUGGUGUCAGCCGCCGCGGUAAAACCAGCACCUCAAGUGGUCAGGAUGAUUAUUGGGCCUAAAGCAUCCGUAGCCGGCUCUAUAAGUUUUCGGUUAAAUCUGUACGCUCAACGUACAGGCUGCCGGGAAUACUGCAGAGCUAGGGAGUGGGAGAGGUAGACGGUACUCGGGAGGAAGGGGUAAAAUCCUUUGAUCUCUCGAUGACCACCUGUGGCGAAGGCGGUCUACCAGAACACGUCCGACGGUGAGGGAUGAAAGCUGGGGGAGCAAACCGGAUUAGAUACCCGGGUAGUCCCAGCUGUAAACUAUGCAAACUCAGUGAUGCAUUGACUUGUGGUCAAUGCAGUGCUGCAGGGAAGCCGUUAAGUUUGCCGCCUGGGAAGUACGUACGCAAGUAUGAAACUUAAAGGAAUUGGCGGGGGAGCACCACAAGGGGUGAAGCCUGCGGUUCAAUUGGAAUCAACGCCGGA
rnacentral:rRNA from 1 species